GACGAACGCUGGCGGCGUGCCUAAUACAUGCCAGUAGAACGCUGAAGCUUGGUGCUUGCACCGAGCGGAUGAGUUGCGAACGGGUGAGUAACGCGUAGGUAACCUGCCUGGUAGCGGGGGAUAACUAUUGGAAACGAUAGCUAAUACCGCAUAAUAGUAGAUGUUGCAUGACAUUUGCUUAAAAGGUGCAAUUGCAUCACUACCAGAUGGACCUGCGUUGUAUUAGCUAGUUGGUGAGGUAACGGCUCACCAAGGCAACGAUACAUAGCCGACCUGAGAGGGUGAUCGGCCACACUGGGACUGAGACACGGCCCAGACUCCUACGGGAGGCAGCAGUAGGGAAUCUUCGGCAAUGGACGGAAGUCUGACCGAGCAACGCCGCGUGAGUGAAGAAGGUUUUCGGAUCGUAAAGCUCUGUUGUAAGAGAAGAACGAGUGUGAGAGUGGAAAGUUCACACUGUGACGGUAUCUUACCAGAAAGGGACGGCUAACUACGUG
rnacentral:rRNA from 1 species